CGGACGGGUGAGUAAUGUAUAGGAACUUGCCUAGUAGCGGGGGACAACGUGUGGAAACGCACGCUAAUACCGCAUACGCUCUACGGAGGAAAGCGGGGGAUCUUCGGACCUCGUGCUACUAGAUGGGCCUAUAUUGGAUUAGCUAGUUGGUAAGGUAAAGGCUUACCAAGGCGACGAUCCAUAGCUGGUUUGAGAGAAUGAUCAGCCACACUGGGACUGAGACACGGCCCAG
rnacentral:rRNA from 1 species